rnacentral:rRNA from 1 species
CCUACGGGAGGCAGCAGUGAGGAAUAUUGGUCAAUGGACGAGAGUCUGAACCAGCCAAGUAGCGUGAAGGAUGACUGCCCUAUGGGUUGUAAACUUCUUUUAUAUGGGAUUACAACGUUUCACGUGUGUGAUUUUGUAUGUACCAUAUGAAUAAGGAUCGGCUAACCCCGCGCCAGCAGCGGCGGUAAUACGGAGGGUCCGAGCGUUGUACGGAUUUAUUGGGUUUAAAGGGAGCGUAGGUGGAUUGUUAAGUCAGUUGUGAAAGUUUGCGGCUCAACCGUAAAAUUGCAGUUGAAACUGGCAGUCUUGAGUGCAGUAGAGGUGAGCGGAAUUCGUGGUGUAGCGGUGAAAUGCUUAGAUAUCACGAAGAACUCCGAUUGCGAAGGCAGUUCACUGGACUGCAACUGACACUGAGGCUCGAAAGUGUGGGUAUCAAACAGGAUUAGAUACCCCAGUAGUC